GCAGCCGCCUGACGGGCUGGCCCGCUCCCUGCUGCCUGGGGCGCUCCCGUGCAGCCUGUGGGCAGAGCUCGAGUCCUGCCCCGGCAGCUCCGCCUGUCACCGAGCCCAGGGAGCGACACCCCGGGCCGUGGGGCCCCGGCUCUGCCAUUGCCGGCCAGGUGCAGCCUCCUGCCGCUCCGCCGCCUGGCAGCUCAGCGCCCCGCCGCCCCUGCGGACAGGCCAGCGCGGCCUCUGGGCUGGGAGAGGUCAGCGCCGACACCGGCAGCCUCCGGUGGGUGGUUGGCAGCAGGCGCCUCUGCCGGCAGUAGCUGUAGGCAAGGGAGGCCGGAGUUAGUUACAAUUUCCCGGCCCCCCGUUUGCCGCUAGGAAGGAAGCUAAGGGGCAGGAGGGGGGAGUUGGCACUUCAUCUUUAAGGAACACAUUGAAAGAUCAGCCCUGUAAAUCACAGAUGUGAGGGGGUCAUUAUAUUUAUAAAGUCCUUUGAAAUCCUUGGAUAAAAGGCUUGGCUACUCCUAGAAAUCUUCCCUCAAGACUGCGCAGCCCACAACCUUGAUCCAGUCUUCCCAAAGAUCCACUCCCUGCACCUCUCUAUAUCCAGGUUGGAUAACAACUAAGCAGAACCCACUGAACCAUUUCCCAGAAGACUCAACAUCUCCUAAAAGGGUGCGUUGUUUCAGGCAAACAUUGACAGUCUGUUACAAUAUGUCUGUGUUCUUUUCUUCGGAUAACUACGAUUGUAGAGGCACUAAACCUAAUAGGAAUUCAUAAGGAUUUUAAUAUGCAUGAUAUGCUGUCAGGAUGAAGUGUUCAUUUGGAUAUGGAAAUUAUUGAAAAUGUAAUCCACAAGGAGCCAGGAUAGAGGCGACAUAUGGGAGAUUUUCUGGUUGUCGCCCCCCCCCCCCAGCCCAGGCAGGUUGGGUGGCCCGCUGAGAUGAGUCAGGGGGUGGAGAUGGCACUCUCUCCUCAUCCCCGCUGCGUGGCACUGGUCCAACCGAACCCUGCUGCCCUGCCGUGCGGAGCUGGCCCGACUGAGCUCCGCUGGCCCGACUGAGCUCCGCUGGCCCGCUGCAUGGCAUCGCCACUUGCCCCCUCCGAACGUUCCUCUUCCCCUUUAGUGGGGUGCACCCCACAGUUUGAAAACCUCUGUGAGGUGGUCACGUGCCCCCCCAGAACUUUAAAAUUGUGCCCCUUCCCAUUAUCAAGAGUUACAUGUCGCCUCUGAAUCAAGAUCAUCACUUUUUAUUUUUAUCCUUCAUCAUUCAUUUCAUUUCUGGAUGUUAAGGAGAAGGGAAAUGAAAGACAAUGGGCCAGAUCUUGUAAGUAGAACGAUGAGUCUGAUUGAAUUCAGCGGAAGUUUUGCAUAUAAAGAAUAACCCUCAAACACUCAUGUAAGUAGCUUUAACCACAUGAGUAGUCCUUAAUGAGUCUUACUCUCACAUGCCUAAGUCUUAACAUUAUCAGCCCCAGCUUAUUCAUAAUCAAACCCCAAACUUAUUUAGAGGAGCCUGGAACAAUAAUUUGCAUUGUCAUUAUUUAGGAGGACACAAUUUUAAUAAAAGGACACAGUAUUUAUCUUCCACCAUAAUGGCCUGAAUCUAUGUACAAGGGGGUGGGAAUGGCUCCAAGUACUAUUAGUUAUGAAAAACUAAUACAAUAAAACAGUAAAAAUUUUCCUUCUUUAAAAAAAAAUAAAAAAUGCCAGUGGGCAAACUAAGUACUAUAUUACGUAACUACACUAAAUAAUCAUUAU